UACAGAGGUCUCAAGCGUUGUUCGGAUUCAUUGGGCGUAAAGGGUGUGUAGGUGGCGCGCUAAGUCGGGUGUGAAAUUUCGGAGCUUAACUCCGAAACUGCAUUCGAUACUGGCGUGCUUGAGGACUGGAGAGGAGACUGGAAUUUACGGUGUAGCGGUGAAAUGCGUAGAUAUCAGGAGGAACACCGGUGGCGAAGGCGGGUCUCUGGGCCGAUACUGACGCUGAGGAGCGAAAGCGUGGGGAGCGAACAGG
rnacentral:rRNA from 1 species